AUUGAACGCUGGCGGCAGGCUUAACACAUGCAAGUCGAGCGGGGUGAUGGUGCUUGCACUAUCACUUAGCGGCGGACGGGUGAGUAAUGCUUAGGAAUCUGCCUAUUAGUGGGGGACAACAUCUCGAAAGGGAUGCUAAUACCGCAUACGUCCUACGGGAGAAAGCAGGGGAUCACUUGUGACCUUGCGCUAAUAGAUGAGCCUAAGUCGGAUUAGCUAGUUGGUGGGGUAAAGGCCUACCAGGGCGACGAUCUGUAGCGGGUCUGAGAGGAUGAUCCGCCACACUGGGACUGAGACACGGCCCAGACUCCUACGGGAGGCAGCAGUGGGGAAUAUUGGACAAUGGGGGGAACCCUGAUCCAGCCCUGCCGCGUGUGUGAAGAAGGCCUUAUGGUUGUAAAGCACUUUAAGCGAGGAGGAGGCUCUUUUGGUUAAUACCCAAGAUGAGUGGACGUUACUCGCAGAAUAAGCACCGGCCAACUCUGUGCCAGCAGCCGCCGUAA
rnacentral:rRNA from 1 species